rfam:TPA: Bos taurus chromosome 10, whole genome shotgun sequence.
UCCCUGGUGGCUUAGCCGGUAAAGAAUCUGCCUGCAAUGCGGGAGACCUGGGUUCAAUCCCUGGGUUGGGAA